rnacentral:rRNA from 1 species
UUAAAUGGCCGCGGUAUUUUGACCGUGCGAAGGUAGCAUAAUCAUUAGUCUAUUAAUUGUAGACUGGUAUGAAAGGCUAGAUGGGGAAAAGCUGUCUUUUUUGGUAUAAUGAAUUUUAAAUUUUUGUGAAGAUGCAAAAAUAUAAUUAGGGGACGAGAAGACCCUAUUAAGCUUUACAUGUAAAUUUUAAAAAGGAAAAUUAAAAGGAAAUGUUAUGUUGGGGCGACAGUAAACAAUAACGUUUAUUAAAGUUUAAUAAUGUAAUUAAAUUAUGAAUGACCCAAAAAAUUUGGUUAUAAGAACAAGUUACUAUAGGGAUAACAGCGUAAUCUCAUUGGAGAGUUCAUAUUGAUGAUGAGGGUUGCGACCUCGAUGUUGAAUUAGGAUAC